GUCAUGGAUGAGGCAUGUACCGCAGACGGGCUCCACUCUCACGCUUUCCUCUGGACACGCUGUACCAUCGAGUGACGCCGCCGCGAAGUCCGCGCAUGACACGUGUGUCAACGUUGUCUGAACAUAUAUGACGCGAGUUCGAUCAUGCCCAGCACCGGAUAAAUUUUAAGGGAUCAAUACGGUUUUGACCGAGCGGCCUUGCCUCAGUGCAGCAGCCAGACGCACUCAUUAGACCACGAACUACCAAGUGACCCGAGCCGGCGCGAAAGAGGUCAGACGCGGACCAUGGAGGCAGGAAAGCGUAGGAGAGGCCCUGGCUAGCCCGGAUGAGUUGAAGAGUGCGUGGCGGAAGUCACCUCCCACGAAACAGAUAACCUCUUAAAAACUUCUUGAAACAGCUACAAACGGCUAUAGACGUCUUGCUCUAUGAUAAGACUGAAAAUGUCAUUUCUUCUAAAGAUAACCUCAGCACCUGGAAUAUGCUAGUAUAUAUUCUAUCUGCGGUAAAACCCACUACUGGUGUCACCAGAGUCUAUUUUGGUAAACACAUUCAGAACGUCUAACUCAAGAACUUUUUUAGAUCUUUUUGUCCAAAAGUGCAUAAAAUGCCAAACGUCCUGUUAAAAGUGCGGUUACCGUCGGUCGUCGGCGUUAACGAAUAAAAGACGCCACAGACAAAUCGAAUCCGUAGGAAGCAACAUAAUAAGUUGGCUGUAGUGUUAAAUAAUUUCAUACCAGAACUUCAACAAUCAAAUUAAGGGCGUGUUAUUGUUUUACAUACGGGGCGUGCACAGGACGCCUAGAAACCAUUCUUCUAUACUCGCGCAGCACGUAAUGACAGCAGCAGGAGCGAAACGCCGGUGUCGCAGUGACCACAGCGGUGUCACAGAGCCACCGCGUUGCGAUGACUUCGGUGGCAGUCAAGUAGGCACGCUCCAAAUUUGUCAUGCAUCUCAUUCCGUGCUGGAAACACUGGGAGGCAGGAAGUUUGAAAAAAAAAACGGCCACUGCCGCCCGUAAUGUCUCGGUCGUGGGUUCGUUAUGCCAGUUGUGCGUCAUUCUAAGCCGUUCUGUACAUUUAUACUGGAUAUUAACUGGAGUCAUUUAGCUGUCCUGCUGCUGUUUGCCGUGUGUUUUGCAUCAGUGCUUCGUGACAUCGGCUGCAUAGCGUGUUUUCGCCGACGGCUUACUGAACCAUAAUGGCGGGAUCUGCGUUCUCCGCCUUCGUUGUUCUCGGUGCAUCUUUGUACGUCGCGCGCUCGAAUAACACUUUUUCCGGUAAGUGAAAUACUUUGCACUUCGGUUUUCAUCAACAAUGUGUAUAUAUUUAGGUGUUACCCAUGACAAUUCUUGAUUCUUGAUGGAUGGGCUCUUCGCUCCGGGUUUUCAUCUCUACUUCUAUACGAGGGUUCUGCUUUUUAGUCAUUGUGGUUAACGUUGCACGAAUCAACCGAAUGGAGUGCAUUCGAAGACGACGCACUGGCUGUAAUCCUGAACCAGACUAAACUCGCCCUAUUUUGUGACCUUUUGUUCUAGCAUGCAGCUUGUAGCGUUCCCACUUUAUAGCAAAACAAAAACAUAAUUGCAAUGUUUACUUCGUCCAUACAAUCCGAAAAGCAAUCGGCUGCUGAUGUAAAAAUUUCACUCGUGUUUUGUUAUAAAUAAGCAGCAAAACUUUUAGCCUAGUAGGUGCUUCAUCUGGGACUGCAAUCACGACUGCUUGGCAUUUAUUAAUGAAUGGUGUGGGUCACCUCAUUUGUAAUUGUAAAUCUGUCUUUCAACUGACUUGAUGAUCUCUUAUUUUGUUCUUUUCACUGUAUAUAGACGGCUGGGCAUCCUUCUUGUCUCUUGGCGCUAGCUGGAUGACGGGACCUCAUCAUGAUCAGUGUAUUGCUCGCCUAUGUCUACAAGAACUGUUGUGUCGACACACAAAAACCUUCACGGGUGACCUGUGACAGAAAGGUUUUGUGGGCAGCCAGUGCUCUCCUACGAAGACUGGCUUGCUCUGGCAGUGGCGGCAAUCAUCUUCAAGAUUCAUGCAUGAUCACCUUUGCUGCUAUUUGUCAUUCUUGUUAAUUACACUUCCUGCAUCUUCUCCAAUUAUUAGGUAAUAAAGUAUGACUAUGUGA